GAACGGCAGCACGGACUUCGGUCUGGUGGCGAGUGGCGAACGGGUGAGUAAUAUAUCGGAACAUACCCUAGAGUGGGGGAUAACGUAGCGAAAGUUACGCUAAUACCGCAUACGCACUAAGGUGGAAAGUGGGGGAUCGCAAGACCUCAUGCUCAUGGAGUGGCCGAUAUCUGAUUAGCUAGUUGGUGAGGUAAAGGCUCACCAAGGCGACGAUCAGUAGCUGGUUUGAGAGAACGACCAGCCACACUGGAACUGAGACACGGUCCAGACUCCUACGGGAGGCAGCAGUGGGGAAUUUUGGACAAUGGGCGCAAGCCUGAUCCAGCAAUGCCGCGUGAGUGAAGAAGGCCUUCGGGUUGUAAAGCUCUUUUGUCAGGGAAGAAACGGUAUCUCCUAAUACGGGGUGCUAAUGACGGUACCUGAAGAAUAAGCACCGGCUAACUACGUGCCAGCAGCCGCGGUAAUACGUAGGGUGCAAGCGUUAAUCGGAAUUACUGGGCGUAAAGCGUGCGCAGGCGGUUAUAUAAGUCAGAUGUGAAAUCCCCGGGCUCAACCUGGGAACUGCAUUUGAGACUGUAUGGCUAGAGUGUGUCAGAGGGGGGUAGAAUUCCACGUGUAGCAGUGAAAUGCGUAGAUAUGUGGAGGAAUACCGAUGGCGAAGGCAGCCCCCUGGGAUAACACUGACGCUCAUGCACGAAAG
rnacentral:rRNA from 1 species